CCUACGGGAGGCAGCAGUAAGGAAUAUUGGUCAAUGGAGGCAACUCUGAACCAGCCAUGCCGCGUGCAGGAAGACAGCCCUAUGGGUCGUAAACUGCUUUUAUCCGGGAAUAAACCUUUCUACGUGUAGGAAGCUGAAUGUACCGGAAGAAUAAGGAUCGGCUAACUCCGUGCCAGCAGCCGCGGUAAUACGGAGGAUCCAAGCGUUAUCCGGAUUUAUUGGGUUUAAAGGGUGCGUAGGCGGCCUGUUAAGUCAGAGGUGAAAGACGGUAGCUCAACUAUCGCAGUGCCUUUGAUACUGACGGGCUUGAAUGAACUAGAGGUAGGCGGAAUGAGACAAGUAGCGGUGAAAUGCAUAGAUAUGUCUCAGAACACCGAUUGCGAAGGCAGCUUACUAUGGUUUUAUUGACGCUGAGGCACGAAAGCGUGGGGAUCAAACAGGAUUAGAUACCCUGGUAGUCCACGCCCUAAACGAUGAAUACUCGCUGUUAGCGAUAUACAGUUAGCGGCUAAGCGAAAGCGUUAAGUAUUCCACCUGGGGAGUAUGCUCGCAGAGUGAACUCAAGAUAGUAGGCGNGAGAGAGCGACGACGACGACGAGGAGGAGG
rnacentral:rRNA from 1 species